CCUUUUCAAUUCUUAUUUUUUGGGUAUUUUUUAUUUUAUCCAUUGUGACAGAUGUGAGGUGAUAUCUCAUAGUAGUCCAGAUUUGCACUUCUUUUAUGAUGAUUGAUGUUAUGUUGAGUAACUUCUCAUGUGUCUGUUCGCCACCUAUAGUUCUUUGGAGAAAUGUUUGUUCAGGUCCUUUUCCCCCAUUAUUUUCAGAUUAUUUGUUUUGUUUUGUUUUGUUGUUGUAUAAGUUCUGUAUAUAUAUUUUGGAUAUUAAUCCCUUAUCAGAUAUGUCGUUUACCAAUAUCUUCUCCCAGUCAUUGGAUUGCCUUUUCAUUUUGUUAAUGAUUUCCUGUAGUCCCAGGAGUUCAUUUCUGCUUUUGUUCCCCCCUGCCUGAGGAGACAGGUCCAUAUCUACAUUUCUGAGGUGAAGAAUAUAUUAUUAUCCCCAUUUUACACAUGAGGAAACCAAGGCUCAGAGUAAGAGACUUUUUUAAACAAAUACUAUUUUAUUACUUAAAAAUACAUAAUGGUCAUAAGGGUACAUGUAAAAAAUUACAAGAGAAAAAUGUACUGGAAUAAGUGGAGACAAAUGUUUUAAAAAGACAACAAGGUACCCAUUCACAUAGAGUCCCCUGAGAAUAAAAUAGUUCUUGUUAGUUAGAUAAGUCCAAGAAAAGACAGUGCUAUGUAGAAAUGCAAGUGACCAAGAAAUAUUCCUUUAGUAAAAAGUAGAAAUGUAUUGGUACUGUACAUGUCCUGAAUUAAAUUAUAGCAUUCUAUUCUAUUCUAUUCUAUUCUAUUCUAUUCACCUAUUCUAUUCUAUUCUUUUCAUUCCUAUUCUAUUCUAUUCUUUUCUAUUCUAUUCUUUCUUCUAUUCUAUUCUUUCUAUUCUUUUCAAUUCUAUUCUUUUCAAUUCUAUUCUAUUUUUUUAAUUUUUAUUUAAUUAAGAUAGUCACACAGAGAGAAAAGAGAAGCAGAGACACAGGCAGAGGGAGAAGCAGGCUCCCAUGCACCAGGAGCCUGACAUGGGAUUCGAUCCCGGGUCUCCAGGAUCGCGCCCUGGGCCAAAGGCAGGUGCCAAACCGCUGCACCACCCAGGGAUCCCAAUUCUAUUAUUUUGUAUUCUACACUAUUCUAUUCUAUUCUAUUCUAUUCUAUUCUAUUGUUUUCUAUUCUUUUCAAUUCAAUUCUAUUCUUUUCAAUUCUAUUCUAUUAUUUUGUAUUCUACACUAUUCUAUUCUAUUAUUUUCUAUUCUAUUGUUUUCUAUUCUUUUCUCUUCUAUUCUUCAAUUCCAUUCUAUUCUUUUCUAUUCUAUUCUAUUGUAUUAUACUCUAUUCUUUUCUAUUCUAUUUUUUCUCUUCAUUUCUAUUCUUUUCUAUUCCAUUCUUUUAAAUUCUUCCAUUCUUUUCUAUUCUAUUCUAAUCAUUUCUAUUCUAUUUCAAUCAUUUCUAUUCUAUUCCAAUCAGUUCUACUCUAUUCUCUUCUAUUCUAUUGUAUUCAUUUCUAUUCUAUUAUUUUCUAUUCAUUUCUAUUCUAUUCUAUUCAAUUCUAUUCUAUUCUAUUCUAUUCUAUUCUAUUCUAUUCUAUUCUAUUCUAUUCUAUUCUAUUCUAUUCUAUUCCAUUCUAUUCUUUUCAAUUCUACUCUAUUGUUUUCUAUUCUAUUCCAUUCUUUUCUAAUCUAUUCCAGUUUUGCUAUACCAUUCUAUUAGAUUCUUUUCUUUUCUAUUCUAUUCUUUUCAAUUCUAUUCUAUUCUAUUCUAUUCUAAUUCUAUUCUAUACUUUUCUUUCCUAUUCUAUUCUAUACUAUCCGAUUCUAUUGUAUUCUAUUCUAUCUAUUCUAUUCUAUUCUAUUCUUUUCUAUUCAAUUCU
rnacentral:lncRNA from 1 species